rnacentral:misc_RNA from 1 species
GUGAGUCAUCGAAUCUUUGAACGCACAUUGCGCCCGCCAGCAUUCUGGCGGGCAUGCCUGUUCGAGCGUCAUUUCAACCCUCAGGCCCUGCCUGGUGUUGGAGGACUGCGCAUGCAGCCUCCCAAAGACAGCGGCGGCGGCGCCCCAAAACCGAACGCAGUAGUUACUUCUCGUUCUGGGUCUGGGUCGUUGUCCUGCCGGAAAACCCCCAUCUUUUACAUGGUUGACCUCGAAUCAGGUAGGAAUACCCGCUGAACUUAAGCAUAUCAAUAAGCGGAGGA